rnacentral:rRNA from 1 species
GACGAACCGAGCGAACGUUGUUCGGAAUCACUGGGCGUAAAGCGCACGUAGGCGGAUUGUUAAGUCGGGGGUGAAAUCCUGGAGCUCAACUCCAGAACUGCCUUCGAUACUGGCGAUCUUGAGUCCGGGAGAGGUGAGUGGAACUCCGAGUGUAGAGGUGAAAUUCGUAGAUAUUCGGAAGAACACCAGUGGCGAAGGCGGCUCACUGGCCCGGUACUGACGCUGAGGUGCGAAAGCGUGGGGAGCAAACAGG